rnacentral:lncRNA from 1 species
AAAAAGGCAUUUUUUGAACAAUAAUUUUUGUUAAUAACAUAACACGACUGAAAUCAAAAAUUUCCUCCACCAAAUUUGAGUGCAAAUGGAUCUCCAAACUUAGCAGUAAGAGAUUUUUAUCAAUUAAAUUAUUCAAUCCUUAAAUAAUACAAUGUUCUUAUUAUAUGUCCUAUCAAUUAAAGUAGAUAGUUAUCAAGUUUAUCACAGACUGCGAUAUUAUAAUUCGCUGCUGUUUCCGUAAUUUUACUUUGCUCAAAUUUUUCCCAAUCCCAAAGAAUCAAUUAUUUCCUCGGCGUAAGUCACACUCGUGAACCGACACGACGUCGCUUCGCCGUUCGAUACCCUAAACGGUCGCGUGAAAUUAUAAUUAACUGGGACCCACAAAUAAACAUAGCUGUCAAUAAACCAAUAGACAGACUGGAAAAAUCCGGGCCGCUGCCCAAUCAAUUGCCACGCUGCCCGAAAUUCACUCUUCCCGUCCACACUUUUCAGUCUAUAAAUAAACCUCACUAUUUUCCUUUCAUGUCUUAAAUAUUAACACUUCCCACAUACAGACAAGAGGAAAAAGAAACUCUCUCAGCUUCCUUCGGUUACGCUCUCAAAAACCCUGAGAAAAAAGGCUUCAAUAAUGGCAUUCUCAAAGGCUUCAAUGGCUACGCUGAUGAUGGCCGUUGUCCUGGCCGCCUUGGCUCUCGCAGGGUCGGCUCAAGAUCUCUCUCCCGCUCCAGCUCCCGCUUCCGGAGCCGGCUCGAUCUCGCCUUCCUUCGCCGCCGCUGGUGUCGCUCUCCUUUCCGCUCUGGUGUUCGGCUCAGUUCUCAGGGUUUAAGAGGCCGGUUCUCUAUCUGAUUACGUGUCACUAGCUUAUUGGGCGUGUAGAGUGGUUUCUUCAUAUUUUUUUCUUCUUUUUUUGCGUUGUUUAGACGUUAUGUGGGCUCAGUAGCGGCGGAUCCACUGGGUUUUAGUCUUUUAGGGAGUGAGUCUUAUUACAUAUAAAUUUUAUAAUGAGAGAGAGUUAUCAGUUAUGCUUUGUAGCUCACGGAGAUGUGAUGAUAUGAUUUGAUUUAUGUUUGUUAUUUUGGAGACUUAUGAUUAUUAUCAGUAUAUAUUAAGCUAUUCCUUUUGUUGUUAUGUUAUAGAUCCUUCACUAUCCGCUUUUCUUUUAAUUUUUUACGUAAAAUCAAUUUAAUUUUAUUUCACUCGAAUCGCGUUCGCCGGACGACAGAAGAGGAAAUGCAUUUCCCACAAGAAUCGAAGAAAAGUAAAAGUAAUGCACUUGCAAACAGUAAUUCGUAUUUUCCCUAAACAAAAAAGUCCCAAGUGGCAAGGCAUAGCUGACACGUGUACUCAUUGGCUUCUGCACUCCCAUUCCCAUGUGCAAUUGUGCAAAAGGACAAAUGAGUGAGAGAAUUGGAGGAGAAGGGGAAUCUGUGCCCUUCACAUGAUCAACGGGAACACAUUUUUUUUUUUUUUUUGGCCUUUUUAAAUUAUUCCAAGUCUAAGUCAUCGGGUCUGUGGCACCUUCGUGAAAACAGAAAACAACAGGGGGAUCAAAUGUGCAAUGAUUCAAUUUGUUGGUUUAUAGGGGUAUAUCAUUACACUUGGCGAUGCCUUGGAAGAAGUCGCCAGGAUGAUGAUUUUUUAAAAGUUUAUGUUGUACAAGGCAGUCUUUGCGAAAUUGGCUCAUUCGGCCCAACUAUCCUUUUGUAAUCAAUGGCUAAGCGUGAUUUGGAACGUAUUUAUUUGACCGGUGAGCUGAGGUUAUUCUCCCUUUUCAUUCGCCCCCACCCAACCCCCCCACCUGGAGUUCACCAACAUUUGCUUAGCUUGUACGAAUAUUAUAGUUGGUUUGUGGACCCUACCACGUAAUUGUUGAUUCGCGUUUGCUUUGCCCUACAUAAUUAUACUAAAUCAAUAAUUCUAGAAAUAUAAACUCUUUAACAAGCAUUACUUAGUGCCUGUUUGGUAUGGCUUAUUUAAGAGCCAUAAGUGCUUAUUUAAUCGUAUAAGCGCUUUUUAAAAUUUUUUAUGGUGUUUGGUUAUUUUUUUAGUAGAGUUUUUUUAGCUUAAAUAAGUGAAUUUACCUCUACUAACAAAAGCCCAAAAUUUGAGCUUUUGGGAGUAGAGGUUAUAGAGCUUUUCUAAAAAUAUCUAAUAUAAAAAAUAUCACACAAUUUAAUGGUUCAAAAGUACUUUUUUUAUUGACAACCAAACACCCAAUGACUUUUUGUCCAAAAGCUCUAUUGGUAUAAGCUCUAGUGCUAUAAGCUCUACUGUUAUAAGCUCUAUUUAAUAAGCUGUACCAAACGGAGCCUUAUUCCAUUAAUGCAGUUUGAGAUGACAUUUUAUAUUAGGUUAUUGUUAUGUUGGAAUUCACAUACGGUAAAGUAUGAAUUUUAAUCACACGUAAAAUAAUAAAUAGUAAAAAAACUAAUUCAUUCUUUAUUAUUUAUCACUUUACGUAUAUGACUGAGAUUCACGCUAUACUAUAAGUGAACUCCAACAUAAUCGAACUCUUUAUAUUAUUAUUGCACGUUUUGUGCAACUGAUUUUUUUUUAACUUAAAAAAUAAUUGAUGUAGGUCUCGCCGUAUUAAUUUGCACAAUAAAAUUUGCAAAAAUAAUUUAUAUUAGUACUCUAUAUUUGUCCAGUAGCCAAUGAGCUUAUUCAUGAACUUCAGCUCAAGUGCUCAACCAUCUUGUAAUGUGCGAAAAUAACCUUGCUUUGUCUAUAAGCAAAGCUAGUGGCACACUCGUCACUCCCUACUUUAGACAGGUUAUACCAAGUUGGUAAAGUAGCUUUUAACUUGUUAACCAGGAAAAUGGACGUAGCCCACUACUGGGCCUAAAGCGUGACCAGCCCAGUCAACCAGCACCAAAAUAAAGCUGAAACAAAAGAAAAAUAUAAGCAAAACAAAAACAGGUGUUGGUGCCUGAUGCCUCUAUAAUGAUAAUAAUAAUAAUAAAAUAGCAGAGAGAGAGUGAAGAGAGAAGAUAUGGCUGAAAUUUUAUCCUUUCAUUCAUCUCAGAGGGAGGGACGAAAGGUAACGAUUUACAGGGUAGCAACAUUUUGUCAUAUUCUCAACAAACAAAAAACAACAGCUAUCAACAGCUAUUCAUCUUCCUCUUCCUCUACUCUGAGUCUGAGUCCAUGUUACCCAUAGCCUUCAAUCCUCUCGGUCUCUGCAUCAGAUUAGAUCCCCGAUACAAACAUUAUGCUCCAUUAAUUUUUAAUGAAAAUGCUUCUCCAAUUGGGGAGUUGUAAUACAAAAAGUACCUUCUUGGAGAUUUUCUUCUCUCUAACUUCAUAACGUUCAAGGGUCAGGUCACAUAGCCAUGCACCAGGACUUACCAGCUGCAAAGAAAAACAUAAACUCAAUGCAACUUUGGCCUUUAAUUUCAGAUUUUGAUUUUGAUUGGGAAGCAAUAAAGAGAGAUUCCUGUGCUUUUUUAAAACAGUUAUGAUUUCAAUUAAUUUGUAAAAAAAAAUAAUUCUACCAUAAGCAAGAAGAUACUUGCAACUUCAAAAAGAAAAAAACUACUUGCAAAAAGAAUCGUCUACAAGUCGUGCGUUUAAGAAAAUUAUGGACGAAAAAUUUCGUGCAAUCUUUGCUUUCCACGCACUGUCAGUGUGGUCCAGCUUGGAGGACCACUACAAGAGUCACGAAACCACCUCCAUUGUUUAUUAUAAAUUAUUCUUAAAUAUUAUUUCAAUAAAGAGAAAAUUAAUCAUUAAAAACUAUUAGAGACAAGAAAAGUUAAUUCACCAAAAAGCAAUGUCCAUAUUACGGAAAUGCCCCACAAUAAUGGGCAAAGGGCCCAUCCGCUUCCGUCGGUUAAACUUUUACGAAGAAUAUUAUUACCUUUGGUGAGUAUUUGGCCCUUACUUCGUUGAUAAGUUUUAGUGUUGUCUAUUGAAUCGCUAUCGUACACGUGUUGCAGAUUGAUCCCUCCAUCUCAAUCUGAAACACUCAUAAUUUUUAAAAGUUCAAACCAAGAGAAAAAUACAGUUUCCAGCUCCGUACUACCACGUCCUUGUUGACCCCACGUACCACGUUUAAGGCAUUCUGUUACCCCUCAGAUUCUUGUAAAAUGAUAAACCCACGAAUGAUUUUAUAAUUUAUACAAAUUAAUAACGGAUAAAAAUUAGCUAAAAAUAAUAAUAAUAAUUAAUUUUUAAUUAUAUAAACCCAUAAUAAUUUUAUAUAACUAAUUCCCUCACGUCACUUCGAUUUAUAUACACUUACUCAUAGAAGGUAAUUAUAACUCUAUUAUUACUCAUUUUUAUAUAUCCAACAUUUUCAACGCUUUCUUUAAAAAAAAAAAAAAAGAACUCCCCGUAGCCAAGAAAAGUAAAAUAAAUUCAAAAUUGCGGUAUUACCGUGAUAAUCUCUUACGGUAAAAUCUUGACUUAAGUAACUCUUAUUGGUCGUAAGAAUAUUUGAUUUUGAUAAAUUGGAACAUCAACAUCAAAAAAAUCAAAAACAGAAAAAACUUAAUGACAACUCAAUUGUCUCUUGUUAUUCAAUUAUCUCCCCCACGAAGUAAAGUAUGAAUUACUACAUUACGGAAUGCCACAUUAUUUAGAAUAAUUUUUAAAAACAAAAGAUUUAAAAUAUGUACCAUUACUUUAAUGAAAUUUUCCGACUAAAUCAAGAGAAAUUUGAUUAUCAAAGCACAAAACUCGGGCAAGGGUAAUAUUCCCACCCCAGAUUUUUGUUAAUUUAUUCUACAUCCCGCACCCAAACCAGGACUCGGUCACUGGGAGGCUAACGUUACUACAGGUCAUUUUUAGGUACACGUCCACGCCUUUACCGACACGUGGACAUGUAUAUCUCACUUGUCACUUUACACACAGCCCUAUUUUUAAGCCAAAACAAAAAUUGAAGAUUAAUAAAAAAAUAAUAAUAAAGUAGAUCAUAGUUUCACAUAAAUCAGGGUCCGACCCAGCAACCAUAUUUGUAGUAACAGCUACAUUCUUAAAAACCGUGUCCCAUCCCAAAAUAUCAUCAAAAGGCCGCAAGAGAUCUAUUGUACCUUGUGCUCCUAAAUGUUGUACCCCAAUAAAAUAUUCCUACAGAUGAUUAUUCACGAUAAUUAAAUUGCAACUAGAAUCAAAUUCAUUAAAUCUAAAUUCUAAAAUAACUAAAACAACAUCGUAGAUAAGUCUAGAUAUCAUGAAAGAUUAAACAAGGAAAGAAUAAGAAAAGCUUACAUUGACUGUGCGUUGAAUAAACUUUGCUCUCUUUUUGGGUCUCUGUGGCAGCUUAGACCCUUUAAUGGCCAUGAAAUCUUCCUCUUUCUCUUUGUUGGUUAAAGCAAUCACAAAUUUCGGGGGCCACACGGGUGGCGCCGCCUCGCCACUAGCGGAAGAGGAUCCACCUUUCUUGCUAUCAUGAGCUGUUUCCGAUGAUGCCCCUGAUUUGUUAUAAUCAUUGUUGUGGUGGUUGUGAUUGUUGUUACGGGUACCUCUCUUAUCGUGCGCACCCCUAUCUGGUGAAGCAAAACCUCUCACACCACCGUUGCUUUGGCCUCUCAUGGCACUUGAAUUCUCAGAGUUCCUAACAAACAAUACACACAUAACAACCCAUCAAUUAACUGGACAUAACAUGUGAAAUAAAAAUGAAAUUUAAUACAGUUAGUAGAGUGCUAUGGAAAAAGUGAAAAAAGUGAUGUGCUGAAGUGAAUUUUGAUGUAAGUACGAAAAUAGCCUUGGGAGUGAUCUAGUAAAGUCGGGCUAAAUUUGAGAAGAAAGUCAUAUACGGUGGGUUCUUUUUUCUUUUGGCUUCUUUGGAGAGACUUUGGAUUGCGCUUUUUAAAUAAAUAGGAAGUGUUGUUAUUUGCUAACUUUGGCUGCCAUGAGAAAAAUAGUUUUGAUUCUAAUCUCGAUCUAACGAGCACAGCUGGUCUUAUGGGCGGUUUGUAGGCCGUUGGAUUCAUUUUCCUUUUCUAAGGUAUGGGCUACGUGUUGAUGGAUGGGUUGGUAUGUAGGAUAAAGUGGACCAGAUUCCUAAUACAAUUGCAAUCGACGGCUGAAAAUUUGUUGAGAUUAGACUUGGGUAUCAUUGGACACGUGGCAGGAACUUGCUAAUUCCAUGUUUCCUAGUUCCAAGUUCCAACGAGUCCACCAUGUGAGGACGCUUUGGCAGCGUUAUAGGCUAAAAUCAGGCGUGAUGAACUCAAGACAAGUUGGCUACCCUCUAGGCAAAUGCAAAAGGUCAAGAGUAGCACAAUUGAGUAAGAAGAGUAGUUUGAUUAGGAAUGCUAAUCAACCUAAUCUUCUUUUGCACAACUUUGAACAAAAUCAGUCCAAUAAGAUUGCAAUAUAGAAAAAGAAAAGAAUAAAACAUAAAUUGUGAGACUUAACUAUCUUCAAAUCAUCACUAUUCAAAAUCUCAAAUUACCCACAUUUUUAUUCAAAAAAAUAAAGGAAAAAUGUGAGUUGAUCAGUUUAUUUUUAUCUUCUACAAAAGAAGCAAAUUGAGAUUUUAAAAAAUAAAAAGAUGAUCUAAAGAAUGUCAAUUCAUAAGGAGAACAAUAAAAAAAAACCCAUAUAAAACUACAAUUAGCAGCUGCAAAUCAGUCAAGUAACAAAGCAAAGAUUACGGCCAAUUUCCCAAUUAAGAAUGUAAACGUAAUAUUGGGAGAAUGCACCAUCUAAAACUCCACCAAUUAUAUGCUAAAAUCUAGAAACUAAUCAAAUUUAUAAAUAAAUGAAACUAUCCCCAAAUCUCAAGUGCAUUAUCUAUAGAUCACACACUUCAAACUCGACUAUUAGAUUCUAAGGAUCGUGAAAUGACAUGAGCAACCCACUUUAGCAAGACUCAAAUCCUAGAAACUAAAGCAAUAGUAAAUAUAAGGACACCCUGACCUUAUGAACUCACCAUCAGGCAUCAGCUCUCCUGAGUUCUGAUUUGCACCAACCUGACCAAUUAGUGAAUGGACAAGUAUAAGCCUCAUAAGUAAGUACUCAGCCCGGAUUUUGGAAGUUUAAAAGUUCAUCUUGUAAUGAACAAGUAGAUCCAACUAACCUCCACUUCAGCAAAAGCAAAAUAAUUUGAUGCUGAAAUGUUAUUAGGCAUCAAGAUUCAGACGCCAGCUCGGUAUUCAUAUGAUAUUAUCUAUUCCUGGAACAGUCCACUCCACUACCAGAAAUAGACAAAUGUAUCAAACCAUAGUACAAUACCAAGGGACAUACUAUCCCAGACUAUGAACUAAUUAUUUCCAAUUUUAUAAAAACAAGCAUAAAGGCUGCAAUUGGAAUUUAAAAUAUAAUAAUAAUAUCAGCAGAAAUGCAGAAUGACUCCGGGCUUACUGAUAUUACACAAACUAAUUAUGUCGACAAUGACCAUGUACCAACAGCUACUAAUGACUAAAGGUGAUCCAAAUUCAUGCUAUUACUGAAAAGGGCAACUAUCUUUCUUCAACAUUAAUUUAACAUAAACACCAAUUCAAUUGAAGAAGAAAAUAGAAUUCAGCACGGUAAAACAUAUUUCUUGCGGCAGAAAACCAUUAAUUAAAGAUAAAGGGUAAAAAGGGGCCCAUCAAAGAGAGCAGAUCGAAAUCUUUUUCCGCGCCAAUGUGGAUUAUAGAAAUCGAACAAUAAAGGAGCUAACACUAAACUGCGAACACGGACACAAAGCGCGUCACGGGCCCACGCGCAACCCAUUCAAUUAUCUAAACGUCAUACACCCAACACUACAGUUGCCUCGCAAACACCAGCGAAGGUUCAGGCUCAGGCCCUCAGCGCGAACAACCCCACAGCUAAAAACAAGAUCCACCAUCUCAGCCGACAGUGUUUAAUACGCGCCGUAAGCAUAAGCAUACAAAUCUCUGUAUUUAUUCAAACAUAAAAUCAAACAAACGAUGAUACAGAGUUAUUACCUGAGCACACGCUGAGGUGGCGGUGGCGGUGGCGGAGGCGGAGAUGGCCGUCGACGGAGAUUAAAAUAACCGUUACCAAUAUUAUGGUUAGCGGUGGCAGUACUCGGCUGAUUGGACGUGUCUUUGUCGGUUCUUACGACUCGAACCGUCGUCCGAUGGGCCGAAGCGGACGAAUCGUCUUUGACUUGAACUUUCAUGCACCGGAGUCGCUUCCUGUUCCCCCACUGUAAGACGAAAUCAGACGACGCCGUUUGCCUAGUGUUGAUCUCUGAGCUAGCUCUUAAUAAUCCCCCAUCUUUGCAAGUGCUCCCAUUAUUACCGCUUCUCAACAAGUCCUUAUCCAUCUCCUUUCGCAAACCUGUCCCAUUCAGAUGAGUUAAUUACAAUUACUCAUCCUAAAUUACGGUUAACUUCCAGAAUUAUACUAAAAAAGAAAAACAAAAUGAACAAUUUGGAUACGGCUUCGGCUUUCCGGCAAAUUCCACGCCAUUUAAAACGAAUGAUUAAAAUUAAAAUUUUAAAGUAACGGUUACGAAUUUUCCCAAAUUUUGAGAAGAAAAGUAGGCUUACCAUAAGAAUCACAUAUAUUAAAAUGCAACAAAAAUAUUGAAUACUGAGGAAGACCGAAGACUGGAAGAGGAAGAUCCGACAGCCAAGGAUUUUUCAAAAUGAAAAAAUGCAGAAUUCUCCACCGAGUGAUGCUGUAAUAGUCAUCAGCAGUGAAAAUGAGAAUUUUAAUUCAAAAAUAGAGCACAGACGUACUCACUCCAGAGGAUCUGACGAAGAAUACGCAUAGAAAACGGAGAAAAAAUUUCUCAAGCUCCAUGCUUUUGCUCGGCUGCCGAGAAAAUGUUCGAAAAAGAAAAUAAAGAAGGAUCGUGAAUUGCAACAAUCAGAACCAAUUCGUUGGUUCUAGAGAUCAAUUCGAGAAUGGAAAGAAGUUCUGAGAUGUUAUUUUUCUCUCUGCUUUCUUUCUCAGUAACCAAACGUAGGUAAUUUGAGAAAAAUCUGAGAAGCAGCCACAGCUAAAACUCAAAAUAAGACGAGACUGACAAAAAUUUUAAAGCUCGAAUAAGACGAGACUGAGAGAUGGUCAAAAGAACAAAAAUCAAAACGAAAAAAUAUUUCAUCAAUAACAAGUCAAGAUUUUCAUGGAACUGAAAUUUCUUGCAGACGCUAAUGAUGAAUUCUCGCCAGAGCCAAACAGCUGAAAAAACGAGAAUCGGAGUCGAACUUAAGUAUAAGCUUCGUAAUAAGAAGCAAGUGGAAACCGAUUCAAAACUGAAAUGAAAGAGAACCGGUCCCCAGUUAAAUCGACGAGAUGAAAAUCGAUAUGCUUGUUUUUUAUACCUCCAAUAUCUCAAAUUCGCCGAUAUUUUGCUUCUUUCAGUCGGCAGAAUACAAAUCGAAUGUAUAUCAGCUUCUCAACGAAAUGAUUGGCAUUUCAAAGACUUGAAAAUCUCCUGCUCUAAUGAGAGAUUAUGAUCUUCCCCUUACAGAAAUUUCUCUAUUCUCUUAAGAAAUGUAUCUGCAAAAUAAAUAAAAUGAUUAUAUCAGAGGAUGAAUUAUACGGAAUUAACACUAAGCCAACUGAACCAUGUCGUCUUUUGUCAUUUUGAAUUUGUCUGUAAACUAAAGCAUGAACCAAACAACAAUUAUACCGGCCAAAUUUUUUAAAUUGAUCUUAAUAAUGAAAAACAAAAGUGUGUUGGUAAUACACACCUCUAAAUCUCCUCUCUCUCUCUCUCUAUUGGAUUCAGAUUCUCAACAUUCCGUUAUCAAAUUCUCGUCAAUUCUCAGCCAAAGUAGUCUGUUUGGCUUCUGAGAAAACGAAAGAAAGUGAAUGAAAAUUCGCAGAGAAACCAGAGAGAGAACAAAGAACACAAACAAAGUGCUCUCCUUCCUUCUUCUGAUAAACGAAAUUCUCUCUCCCUUUUAAAACCAGUUUUAUACCCCUCAUUCAUACUCUCGGUUCCACACCGAGCAUUCGUGACCAUCAAUCAGCAAUCAAACGGUCCCGAUUACUCCUCCUUUGAACCGUCGACUCCCGUCUAUCAUCAAGUUAGCAUGCGCCCGUGGCAAAUUUUUAUCACCUCACGGACUUCAUCAAUCUAACGGAAUCUUUAACGACGUUGAAUUUUUGUUGAAUUAUAUCAUUAUUUAUUCUGAUAUGUUUUCUAUUAUUUUAUUGUUGCAAUUUUAUUUUUUUUAAUGCCGGUGUGGUGGCGCUUAUUAUUAGAGAGUAUUGAGUUACAUUCAAUAAGGUUAGUUAAUCACGUGACUGAUCAAACCACGGUUAUUUUUUUAUUAUUAGUUUAUUGUUGAAUUUUUUUUUUUCAAGCCGGCGUGGGGGCGCUCAUUAUUAGAGCAUCGCAGUACCAGUUGGGUUAGUUAAUCACGUGAGUGAACUAACCAUGGUUUAAUUUUAACCAGACCUCUGAGUCUAGCGAUAGGUAUAAGGGCAAUUUUGGUAUUUUAUCGCGAUAAAUAACAUUUAAACAACAAUAAUAAAAUGACCUGCACGUGUUCUAAUGUUCUCUUACCUUAUUUUAUUUUUAAUGACGCAGUCAUUAUUCACGGUGGUCAUUUAUAAUAAUUUUGUCAUUUUUCUAAUGCUAAGGUCAUUUUUAUAGGUAAUGUAGUUGCUUUAAUUUUUAAUGGUCAUUUUUGGUGGUAUAUACAUUUUUAUUAAUCGGACCAUUUUAGUGAUAUGAUCUCAAAGUUGCUUUCGAUUUUUUAAUGUGUUCGCUUAAAAUGGAGUAAUGAUACAUUUAUAAAUUUUUAUAUUAAUUAUUUUAUAUUAAUUUUGUAAUAUAAUUGGUUGAAUGAAACCAACACAUUGUCCACAUGAUUUAUCUUUAUUAUCUUAUAUCUUCACUCAACCAAUGAUGUUAUACCAUAUCAAUUUGUAUAAAAAUUGCUUAUAUAAGAAUUUAUAACUCUAUUAUUAUUCUUUAAAGUUACAUUUUAAUGUCUUUAAUUUUUUAUUUUCUUGGCAAUGAUCCCGUGGUAAGAUUGGUCAAUCACUCUUCUCCUUAAUAUUAAAGUGGAGAGUUUGAGUAUUCUCAUGUAGUUGUGAGAGUAUAAUAUGUUUGGACUUUUAUUGUAUUAAAAAAAAUUUCCUUCAAUUAAAAAAAAUAUAUAUUUUCCUCAAAAAUUGAAAGGGAUGCAUGCAUUUUUCAACGAGACAUUUUUUUAUAAAAUCCCUUAACAAAUACACAAACUUUGCAAAUUAAUUGCGUAUAAGAUCGAAGUUAAAAAAUAAAUAACUAAAUAAAAUUGUUUAAUGUUACAAAUGCAAAUAUACUUCUUGUCUUUGAUCUUAUUAUGUUAAUUUAUAUUUUAACACUUUAUUAUGCAGCAACGGCCCGACUAUCUAAUAAAAAGGGCAAAUAACCUUAUAUUCAUAGUAUUUGUACUGAGCUAUUCUGGAUAGUUAUGAGAAGCAUCUACUGUUAUUGAAGCAAGAUUUCAAGAUUGGUCAUGUUUCUAAUUGGAAAAUGUAUGAUUCUAAAGAGUGUAAUACUGCGUUUAGACUUUAUUUUUCUUUCCUUCAAUUAAAAAAGAAAAAAAAAGAUUGUUUUCCUCAAAAAGUGAAAGGGAAACAUACAUUUUCCAAUUAAAUAUUUUUAUAAAAUCCCUCAAGGUCUUAACAAGUACACAAACUUUAGCAAAUAAAAUUGUUUAAUGGUACAAAUGCAUAUAUAGUUCUUGUCUUUGAUCUUAUUAUGUUAAUUCAUAUUUUUUAACAUUUAAUUAUGCAUCAAAGGCUUCACUAUCUAGUAACAAGGACAAAUAACCUCGUAUUCAUUGUAUUUGUAUUAAGCUAUUUUGAAUAAUUAUAAGAAGUAUCUAUUGUUAAUUUAGUAAGAUUUCAAGAUUGACCAUGUUUCUAAAAAUUAUAAUAGAGCAGUUGAUGCUUUGGUUAAAAAUCACAUUUAGGUAUUAUUAUUAUUAUCUUAUACAGGUGAAGAUUUUCUACAACAUUUAACUUGUUUAUUUUGAAAUUUUGUCUUGCAAUAAUGAGAAUCUAUUUGGGGAAAAAAAACACCUUGUAUUUAACUUGUAUUUUUUUUUUUCCAUUUUUGGAUGAGUUGUUAGAUUUGAAACAAUCUAAUUUAACGAGCAUGGAUGAAAAGAGUAAAUACAUUAUUGAAGUGGGUUACCGUCUUAGUCGGUCAAGCAUAUAUCUUUAUUAUUAUUAUUAUUAUUAUUAUUAUUAUUAUUAGAGUUAUUAUCGUUUUACUACUUCAAAAAUUACCAAAUAUCAAAUGAUUAUAACAAGUAUUAUCUCCUAUCAUUUUCUUAUUAUAUCUUUAUAAAAAUAUCAUUUUACUACUUUUCCAUUACAACCGUUAGUUGACCCGUUAGUUAACCAGUUAGUUGACUAACAAAAUACUAAUUUUACCCUUCAUAAUUAAAAAAUAAUAAUAAGAUAAAUUUGUAAUCCAUAUAUCAUAAUUCUAACUAAAAUAAUUAUGCUGGUAUUUUAUAUCCAUUUUAAUAAAUAUAUUACAAAUUUAUUUUAUAAAUAAGUUUUUCAAGUAUUUUUUUUAAUCAUAAAUGAUGAAAUUAAUAUUUUGUUAGUCAACUAAUGGUUAUAAUGGAAACGUAGUAAAAUAAUAUUUUUAUAAAGAUAUAAUAAGAAAAUAAUAAAAGAUAAUACUUAUUGUAGUCAUUUGAUAUUUGAUAAUUUUUUAAGUAAUAAAAUAAUAAUAACUCUUAUUAUUAUUAUUAUUAUAUUGGAGCAUAGGAUCAUAGAUCUUAAAGUUUGAUUUUUAUUAAUCCAAUUUCUGCAACGUUUGUUGCAAGGCUCUGCGAUAUCAAUAGAUAAAAUGCUUGAUUCGUACGUCCUUUUUUUUUUUUUUUUCCGCUUACAGUACUGCAGAAGUAGUUUCCUCAACUGUUCUGGCUGUCUCUCUUAACCUCACGGUGUUUCCUUUGCCAAUUUGCUCUUUUAUUUACGGUCGAUUCUGUCACUUUCUCCAUUAACUAGCAUCACGUGGCUAUUUUUGGGCCUUUGGAUUUGUGCUUCAAAUUCAACGGCUUUGACGUGGCCUAUGCAACAAUGCCUAAAAUAAUGUCGGUGUGUGGUCAAUUUGUCACCUUAUCUAGUCCAUGUAGUAUGUACAAGAGCUGAUCACUUGACGGAAAAUAAAGAGAUUGUUCAUUCAUUUGUUAUGGCCAUCCAAGUAAUUUCCUUGAAAGCCAAUUAGGCAAUAAUUUUUUUUAAUGAGUGUUCAAAAUAAUUUUAAAGUGUCAAAAUAUAAAUAUAUUUAUAAAGUUAGAAUAUAAAAUUUGAAUUUCAAUUAAUAUGAUAGUAAAUACAAAUUCACUAUCUUAUAUAUCUAUCUAUCUAUAUCUAUAUAUCUAUCUAUCUAUAUAAAGUUGGGACUUGAGUAGGUGAUGUGGCAUCACCAUUUCUUAUCUUUGUAUAUUCUCUAUUAUCUAAUAAAUAGAGAAAUUUUUCUUUUAGAUUUGACUUUUCAUCUUCUCAUAAUUAAUUUGAUUAUUAUUACACAAUAACAAUUAUGUAAAAAUUUUAAUGAGACAUAUUCUUUGUAAUGAACAUCCAAGGGGAGUGUUAUGAAUUGAUUAAAAUAAAUAUAGAUGUUCAUAACAUAUAUCUCUUAGUCUCCUUACUAUCUCCCAUUAACAACCUUUAGCUUCCCUAUAACUCCCACUAUCUCACAAGGAAUUAUGAUCCAUAAUUUUUCAUUAAUUUCAUGAAGUGAUUAUGUAACUAUAAAAAGAAAGCUCAUCUUUUUGUUUUGUACACACACAAUUGGAAUGAAUAAAAUCACUCUAUAAUAUAUUCUCUCAUUUUAUUUUUUAUCUUGUGUUACUUCUUUAUUUGUAUUGUUGGCUAAUAGCUUUUUUUGUUUUUUAUAAGGUUGCCUCAUCUUAAAAAAAAUCAAUUCAUAUUUUUUAUCAGUUUCAGCAAGUGUAAAGUAAGAAAAAAUGAUCAUACUAAAUUCUUUUUUCAAAACCGCGUGAAAACGCGGUUCUAUUUUCUAUAUAUAUAUAAAGUUGGGACUUGAGGAGGUGAUGUGGCGUCACCAUUUCUCAUAUUUGUGUAUUCUCUAUUAUCUAAUAAAUAGAGAAAUUUUAUUUUAGAUUUGACUUUUCAUCUUCUCAUAAUUAAUUUGAUUGUUAUUACACAAUGACAAUUAUGUAAAGAUUUUAAUGAAGCAUAUUCUUUGUAAUGAACAUCCAAGGGGAAAUGUUAUGAAUUUAUUAAAAUAAAUGUAGAUGUUCAUAACAUAUAUCUCUUAGUCUCCCCACUAUCUCCCAUUAACAACCUUUAGCUUCCCUAUAACUCCCACUAUCUCACAAUGAAUUAUGAUCCAUAAUUUUUCAUUAAUUUCAUGGAGUGAUUAUGUAACUAUAAAAGGAGAGCUCAUCUUUUUGUUUUGUACACACACAAUUGGAAUGAAUAAAAUCACUCUAUAAUAUAUUCUCUCAUUUUAUUAUUUAUCUUGCGUUGCUUCUUUAUUUGUAUUGCUAGCUAAUAGCUUUUUUUAUUUUUUAUAAGGCUGACUCAUCUUUAAAAAAAAUCAAUUCAUAUUUUUUAUCAGUUUCAUCAAGUGUAAAGUAAGAAAAAAUGAUCCUACUAAAUUCUUUUUUUAAAGCAGCGUAAAGCGCGGUUCUAUUUUAUAGUUAAGAUAAUAAUUGAUAAGAAUUAAUAAGGAAAAUUGUCAAUUUUCUUACACUGAAAUCAAUAUCUAUCACUUACUCCCUAUUAUUUUCAUAAUACCUAAUAACUCCCUGGUACUAUAAUUUUACAAUAUAAUCCUUAUUUUCAAGUACACUUUAUUGAUUUAACUAUAAACUGAAUAAAUCAUAUAAAUUGAAAAUAGAAUAAAAGAUUUAAAUACUAAAAAUAAGAAAUAUAAGUUUAAGUAUGAAUAAAAAAUUAAUAAUAAGAUAUUUUUUUUAUACUUUUUGUUAAUUUAAAAAAAAUUCUAAUAACCAUUAUUUAAUAUUUUAAGAUAAAAUAUCAAAUAAAUAACUCAUUUAUAUCUAUUUUCGCUUAAAUUUUUGUGCUCACAGAUCUUUGAAUACUAUAAAUAUAAUUGAAAACAAGUGAUAUAUAUUGAUUUAAAUAAGCAGAAAAUUGCCAAACUCUGAGUUAAUAAUCCAUUAUCAAAUGACCUCACGAAAUAAAAUCAUAUCAUCUACCACAUCAUCACUUUGAAUGCAAACUUUAUAUUGCCCCCAUGUAAGCUUAUUACUUAUUAUAAUUGUUUAUAAUACCUCUACAAGCUCAUGAAUGAUAAAAAGUCAUAUGUAAUGAAUAAAGUUGAGAUUUUGAAAGUUCAAAGCAUCAAAUUUUAUUCCUAAAGCCUAAGUGAUCAUUUGCUUAAUCAAUAACACCAUGUAUCGCGCAUGUUUUUUUUUUAUUAAACUUAAAAAUAACAUUUUUUUCUAAAAUUAUUAAUACGUACUAAUAUUUACAUCAUAUAUUGGAUAUAUGCUCUACUCAAUACUCACCAUUUAAUAGAAUAGAAGCUUAUUUUUACUCAAUUUUUAAUUGGGAAUAAAAGUCUUUUCUGGUGACUUAAAUUACAGCUCUUAGACAUCUGUUCUACAUUUAAUUAACAGGAGAGAUUCUAAUAUAUACCCAAUUUUUAAUUAGAAGAAGAAAUAGAAAUCUGCUAUAAGAACUUAAAUCGCAGCUCUCACAAUGGUUACUUGUGAGAGUUGCAGUUUACCACUCAACUAUUUUAACAGAGUGCUUUGAAAAUACCAUCUGAUAUAUCUAACACAAAGAACUUAAUAUAAUACACGCUGUCAUACAUGUUAUGGCAUGCGUGGCAAGCUCCCAUUAAGGAAGCUCUACUGUAGCUCCAAGGCCCCUAAUAAGAACUCAUCAUUAACAUACUAGCCAAUCGCACACUAUAAUAACGUACGCGAGGGCGUGCAGAAGAUCAGCUUGCUUUAAAAUUGUUCAUAACAACAACAAUACUUUAUGAGAUUACAAUCACAUAAAAAGACAAGCCAAAACAAAACAAAACAAGACCGACAUGAAAGUAAUGUCGGUGUUCCGAUUACUUAGACCGCUCUAUAUUACGAUUUAUAGAUUAUGUAAAUCUGUAUUAAAGGGGAAAAUAAAGGGAAAAAAAGAAAAGAAAUGGUCUAUGUAGUACUAUCUAAAGGUCUAUAUCAAUCACUAAUGGUCUUUGAUUCAAUGAAAGAAAUCUUGUACUUAUAAUGUCAAGUGCAAAGAUUCGAGUUUUCAUAAGAGCAUUAUGAAAGUUAGUUUCAGUUUUUUCUUAAUUAUCAACUAAUUGAGUGGAGAUAGUCUAUUCCUUACAAAAUAUGAGUGAAGUAGGUAUCCAUCGAAUAUUAGAGAGUGUUUAAAGUAUUUGGACAAAUAUUUUAGUGGGUUAAUGUAUAAUGAUGAUCCCCGUAGUUUAGUAUGAUUAUAAAUAUAAUAAUUAUAAUAUUUAAUGUAAUAUCAGUAACAAUAUCUAUAUAACAUAAUAAAAAAAAAAGUUCUAUAUCAAUCAAUGGGACGAUAUUUAUUUAAUCCAGAUAAAAACGGAUUCAAAAAGUUGAGGUCAAAGGCAUAAACAUCCUUCAUAUCUAAGAUUUCAUUGGCCUCGAAUGGAGGACAUUAUUGUCAAAUCAAAUUGUCCCUACAAGCACUAAUCGAUCAGGUUAGGGUUUCGCUCUUACUCUGAAUUGACGAAACGAAGAAUCACCGAGUUAAGGGGAAAGAAGAUAACACUAAAUCAAUCAGAUAUCACGUUUCAUAUCAACCGAUUAAUCACUGGUGCGUUUUGUUUUCUUUCCAAUUGUUCUAUUCUCGUGCUUUUAUUUGUGAGAUUUUUUUUUCUCCGAUCGAAAUAUCAUAUGCAUCGGGAUCUUGAAAUUCAAGAUCUAUAAAUUCAUUUUUGCUGAAGAUUGAGAAUUGUUUUGUAUUUUCCUUAGAUGUAUAACGGAAUCGGCUUACAGACCCCGAGGGGGUCCGGAACCAACGGAUACAUACAAACGAACAAGUUUUUUGUGAAGGCCAAAACAGGUCGGGUUACAGACAGCGUCAAGGGAUUCGAAGCGGGUCAGGGAACGGCUGGAGUCACCAGAAAACCGAACCAGGAGAUCCUCGAGCAUGAGCGUAAGCGCCAGAUUCAACUCAAAUUGGUGGUGCUCGAAGACAAACUCGUUGAUCAGGGUUACACUGAGGCUGAAAUCGCUGAGAAGCUUGAGGAGGCUCGUAAGACUCUUGAAGUUGCCUCAGCUUCAGCGGAAAGUGGUGGGCAUGCCGCUGAUGCAAAGUAAGUAAUUCUUGCUAUGAAUAAUAAGAUACAUACAAAUUUUCAUUCUUGAGGUGACAUGAUAUGAUUGGAAGAGUGAAAAAUAACAAGUACAGUUCAAGUACUCAUACCACUUCAGUUUGUAGAGAUGUCUUUUUGUAGACAUUUUUUCAUGUGUGUAACUUUUAAGCGUGUCAGUUUUAUUUAUUUUCACUGCUAUAAAUACUGUGAAUGGUUAGUUUUCUUGUACGUUGUUUUAUAUGUGUGAUAAAGCAAUUGGUAUGUUUUUAGUAUGUGCUGCUUGUGUUUGAAGUUUGAAGCAUGUAUAAUUAGGGAACCUGCAAUUUUGCCUCUCCUUUCGGCUGCAAGGGGAUUGUUGAAUCACUUCCUUGAUGGCUUUGUUCUGGAGGCAUAUAUGUAAUUCAGAAUGGGAUUCAUUAAAGGGGAAUUAAUUUUUUUCUAAUUUCCCUUACUCUUUUUUCUUGGAAAUUCCUUCGUCUUUGUAAUAGUUGUUCCAUUUUCAGGUUUAUUUUACACUUGAGAUUUCUGUUACCCGAGUUAUUUUACAUGAUUAAUCAUGUCUUCUCACUAGGAAAUUUUUGUAUAGGUUACCUAGGAAUUAACUUCUAAUUUUCUCCUUGCUUGUUCAGGGUAUCAGAAACAGAGACCCAUAAAAUUGCUGCUAGAAAGGAGAAACAAAUGGAAAUGUUUAGAGCUGCACUUGGUAUAGGUACGAUUGAAGCUAGUGAACAAGGGGCUGAAGGAAGUGAUGUUGCACCAAGAAAUGGUCGAAAGAAUGCUUCCAAUGAUGACGGUAAGUGGCAUGAGAAAAGCGAACAUGCCUUUUUGGAUAGAGAGAAUGUUCGGAAGAGACAUGUGAUAGAAGAGGGGGAAAUUGUGGAGGACGAUCAGAAAAAGACUGUUAAAGAUGAGAAAAUUAAGAAGGAUGAGACCAGGCACCAUAAGGGUAAUGGCAGAAAGAGAAGACAUGGAGACGAUUCUUCUGAUUCUGAUAGCAGCAGUAAGCAUGCAAGAAGGAUACCCAAGAAGAAUCGUAAGGUUAGCCAGAGGAGUGAGAGUGAAAGUGACAGUGACAGUGAUAGUGAAAGCCCUAAGAAAAGGAGGAACUCUUCAAAGAAGCACAAGAAAAGCAGACAACAUUCUAGUGAUGGUUCAGAUAAUUCUUCUUCUGAUGACGCUGGUAGCAGUAAGUAUGCAAGAGCGAUGCCAAAGAAGAAUCGUAAGGUUAGCCUGAGUAGUGAUAGUGAAAGUGACAGUGACAGUGAUGGUGAAAGCCCUAAGAAAAGGAGGAACUCUUCGAAGAAGCACAAGAAAAGCAGAAAACAUUCUAGUGAUAGUUCAGAUUAUUCUUCUUCUGAUGACACUGGUAAGGUUAGUUCCAUGAAGGAAGUUGAGAAAUAUGGAAAAAGUCAUAGGAGACAUGAUUCGGAUGAUGGUUCUGAUUUUGAUGAAGAUUCAUCUAAGCACAGGACUCGGAAGGGGAGUAGGCAUGUGAAAGCAAGUGUACGUCAUGAUUCUGAGGAUGAUUUCGAUAAUGGUAUUGGUAUGGAAAAGGAUAAAAGUCAUCUUGAGAAAAGGGGCAAUCAGCUGGGUGGAAGCCGCAGAGGGGAGCGACAAAAUUUUGACUUAAGGUCUCACCAAAAGAGCAACUAUGAUAGUUAUGGGAAAAACAGGCAAGGCUAUGAUGUUGAUGAUGCAGAUGUGAUAAAGAGGAGAUCGAGAAGGAAUGACACUGAUGAUGACAGUGGCAAUAAAAUUGAGAAGCGCAGGAUAAGUAGGAGGCAUAAUUCUGAUAAUGAAAACUCAGAUUCCAGCUAUGGGAGGAAAAAUUAUAAAGCAUCCCUUGGAAGGCCUGAAGCGAUCAAAAAUGAGUCUCCUUUGGACAAUAACAAUAGAAAUAGGAGUGAGUCUGACAAGGGAAGUGGUGACGGAGAUUCAGACAGCAGUGCAAGUGAUUACGGACGUAAGAAAAGUGGAAAGAACCGUGUGGGUGAAAACAGAACUGGAAGUGGAAAUGGUAUGAGUGGUAGAAGUGGACGGAGUGAUCAUGGGUACAGUCCUGCUGGAAGUGACAGGAAAAGAGAAAGAAAUGGUCGGAAAGAUGACGAUAUGUUAGACGCACUGAGGAAAUUAGAGGAGCGAAGUCUGUACCAGUAUGAAAGAGAUGCUGCAGAUAUGGGAAGGUCUACCUAUGAACAUCAGGAAAUGAGGAUGGCCAAGAGGAAGUAUGAUGAGGCAAACAGGGAGGAGCGACCAGAAGCAAGGUUAAGGAGUAGUAUUGUUGGGAAGGAUGCAAUGCACGAAGGCCAUCAUGCAGAUGCAAAACCGGAGUCUGAAUUGAACGCCAGACCACGUGGGAAUGAGGAUGGUCGUAGGGGGGAUGAUGAAGAUUCCAAAGAGCAUGCAGGGUUCAGAAGGCAAAACAUGGAUGAAGAGGAGGCUAGAGGGGGAAGGCAUCGGAGAGCUGAAGAACACAAAUAUGGAAGGCACGGAAAGGAUCAUGAAGAGCUGCAGCGAGAAAGUCAAAGGCAUGGAAGAGGGGAGGAAGAAGAGCGAGGAAGUCGAAGGCAUGGGAGAGGGGAGGAAGAAGAGCGAGGAAGUCGAAGGCUUGGAAGAGGGGAGGAAGAAGAGCGGCGUAGUCGAAGGCAUGGGAGAGGGGAGGAAGAAGAGAGGCGUAGUCAAAAGCAUGGCAGAGAGGAGGGAGAAGUGCAAGAAAGUAAGGGAAAUGAGCGGGACAAACAAGCGGAUUACUCCAAGAGAGUUAGAUAUGAUGAUUCUCGGUCAAGUGAGAGAAGGAGGUAUGCGUACAAGCAUGAAGAUGAUCGGGGCAGACGUUGAGACUGAAGCAGCUAUCUGAUAUCUGCUGUAUUGCUGGUGAGUUUAUUUCUGUUGUUGGAACUUACUUUUUUAUGCUUCUAUUGACGAAAAGGUUUUAAAUUUCUUUUAGAAAGUAAAUUGAGAUUUUACAAGUUGUUUUAUCUUUGUAUGUUUAAGCCUGUAAAUUCCAAUAAUUAGCAGUCUGUUAUUAUAAGUAUAGACAGACCUAAGCUAAUGUCUCCAGUUGCCUUUAUUAUCUCACAUAAAUUUGCAAUACAUAAUGGCAUGGGAAAUUGCUUUCGUAAUGCAGAGAAAGAAAAUGGAACCUGUAUGUUAUGCUGUUAAUUGAAAGGCAUGCUAACUACACAUAAAGCUUGGGUAUUUGUGAAUUUUAGCAUCUAAGCAUCUUGGAUUUGCAUAGACAUGCCUGAAUGACUAUGAUGGUGUGGCCUCUCUAGGUGUUUUCCGUCAGCCUACCUAGACUGAUUAACUUUUGUACAAAGAAUAAAAUUGAUGGCAGGAUAGAUUCAUGGCCACAUCUGAACUUAAAUUGUUAUUUAAUUUUAUUUUGUAUGCGUCUUUUAUGAAAACAAAGAUGAAAAUGAUUAAUACAAUAAUGCCAGGCAAAAACCUAUGAUUGUUUUAUUAUGCUACUUGCUCCCUCUGAUUGCCAGUAAAUCAGUUAUUACAGGCUUGCUAGAUCAAUGCUGACAAGAUAGGCAAUCUCCAAGCUAAACCAGCUUGCUGAAGUUAUGGAAGGGGGAAGUCCUGCUACAUGAAUUGGCAGAUAUGAUUGGUGGUGUUUGUGCGGCGUUCCCUCGUACAGGUUUAUGCAUUGUGAUGGGAGUAUUUGCAAUUUUGGUCUGGAUUUGUAUUUGCUCGGUUCGUGUUCUGGAAAACAUAUAUAGUAUAGUAGUCGGUAUAUCACAGUGUUAGAAGACCAUAAUUUACCUUUUGUAUUUCCGUGAAUGAAUUAUUACUUUGUUUUUGCCGCUGACUAGAUGAUCGACCCCUGUUUAUUUUAAUGUUUUAUAUCAAGGAUUUAUUAGGAAAAUAUUUAAGUCCUACAGGCAGAAACUCUGGGGAAGAGUUUCCGUUAAAAGAAGAUUGGGGUGUGAAUUUUGGUUUUGAAAUUUGUUUACGAAAGUGUGGAGGAUAGUUAUUUUGAUUUUCAAGAAGACGAAGGGGAAAACGAAGCUGAAGGAAGAAACGCAUGAUCCUAAGCCAACGUUAUCAGUUAAUGCAGCGGAGAAAUUUGUCUAAAAGACUCUUUUGAAAUGUCUGGCAAUAAUCACAUCCAUGACUUAAAAGUUGAAAGUAAUUUUCCUUUACAAUUUGUUUGAUGAAAAUUUUAUGUUCUGCUUGCUUGCUAUUUACUAUGAUUAUAUUUUAAGGGUGUGUUGACUAUGUUAAAAUACAAUGAGUAAUUAACAAACAUGAUAUAACAAUAUUUUAAUACCGUGAGAAGUUCUAAUACCCUAGUGCCAAGCACGCCCUAAAUGUCAUAUUUGCUGAACAAUACGAUCUUUUUUAAUCCAAAAUUAGAGCUUUUAUUUCAAUAUUUAGAGCAACACCACGAAGAGGGUUGAGUUGCGCACGGUCUACAAAUCAGGAACAAGUUUAGCUACAUAAGCAUAAAAUAGCAUCGCAUACAUCCAAAAUAUAUACUAUCAAAUUACAACUGCGGUCUGGCAGGGAAGGGCUUUUAAAUAUAAUAAUUACAAGGAAGCAAUCACCAGCCAAAUGAAAAUAGACAUGCCAUAAAUGGAAGCAACCAUCAGCCAAAUGAAAAUAGAUAUUGCCAUAUUGGCGACUAAAAUGAAAACUAACAUAUUUCAAGAACUGGCUUAUGAUAUUCGCACAGUUCUCGGCUUCUUUAUGCACUGAAUCCUUUGUCGAGAGAACUCCAAGGACCAGAAGGAAUAUUUUCACAGGCUUGUGCUGAUGCUUCAGCCAUCUUCUCUUUCCCAAUUCCUGUAUUACAGAUGUUUGCAAGAGAACGCAUGUGCUUCAUUCCAUAUUGCGAUAGAGCUCCACAGUGCGACUCAAAAGUCCUCACCUGCACAGAGGAAUAGACAGAAAAGAACCUUGUUAAUGAUAUUUUAAGUGUUGUCAAGGGAUUAAAAAAUACAAGAAUUGAUGAUCAGGAAUUUUACCAGUGAUUUGAGGCAGCCCCAGUCAUCAACAAGAGGGUGACCAGCAGGUCGAACAGUGUUCAAGAUCUCUGGACCUUUCUCAAUUCCAAAUAAGAGCUUUCCAAUAAGUUUGAUGCUGUGGUCUACAUGCAUUCUAUGAGACAUUGCUUCAAAAAACUGCUUCUGAGCUUCAGCCUUCCUAGGAGUGCCCUCGGGUGCCUUGCGGUACUAUUAAAGUAACGGAUAGGCAAAGUGAGGUAUAUUCUUAAGUAGAAAGGAGAAAAUUUUCAGACAUAUACUGCAGAAAGGGUCGCUAUUUUACAAUUCAUCCCCCCCCCCCACAAAAAAAAUCUAUUUAGGGCGUUCUGACUGUUAUUUCCACAGGUAACAUAGCAGGGUAACCAAAACUUCCACAUCUCAAGCAAAUAGAAACAUACAUGUUCUAUAGGGGUUUUGUACCCAAUGGCCAAUGGACUCUGCUUAUACUGCUUUGGGUAUAAUAGAGAAAUGGCAUACCUAAAAAUGGUUCCAAAAUUCUUAAUAUCAAGCUACUACCAUGCUUUGUUACAUCACUAAUCUCUUUUCCUAAUUCCAACUUAACCAAUCAUAAGACCCUUAUACAGUUUACACCAACCUCAACAACGAGAUGACAAACUUUCAAACCCAUGUUGAACAUAGAAUUGUGAUCCAUUCCCACAUUGGGGAUUGAAAAAGUAAAUGAAUAAAAUAAGAUAGAGAGGCAGCAUUCAAUUUAAUGAGCUAUGUGCAUUGUUGGAUACAUACCUUGUCCCAGAAAUGCAAGAGAUCGGCAUCUCGCUGGUUAACAGCUUUAGAUGCUGGCCUCAAGGAGUUCUCAUCCACAAAAGUGUAGUUAUCAUUUGCAGGAUUUGUACCCAAGUACGUGAAGAGAUUGUUCUUGCUAAGACCGAUAUCACCAUAUUGCAUGACAUGAGAGCCAUACGAAUUGUAACUAGCAGUCCUUGUUUUAACCUGAAAUUUCGAAAAUCAAAAAACUGAUUUUAGCGGUUAUCAAAACAAGCAGGUAAGAGCAGGAUCUAGGAUUCUUAAAAAGCCAACUGUUACUAAUUUUAUUUGCACUGAGUUAACCAUUAUCUGUGUAUAAUGAACAUCGAUGAAGUAAUAAAGUCUCAAUGAGAUCUUACCAGUUCAUACUGCUGGUGAAGAGUUUCUGUCCGCAAGUUGUGUAUGUCACUGUGCAAAGGUCAAAAUAUUAAAAUUCACCCAAAAAAAAAAAAAAAGGCACACGCACACACUGCUUCUCUAGGAAAAAACUGCACAAAAUGAUAAAUUUUUAGAAAAGUUUUGUUCAGUAAGUUAAUAAAUCCGGUCAAACCAGUACUUUUCUUCUAUUUUCAGAGAUUACAGAAGACAGACAUAGACAUGUUGUUACUCAAGGAAACAGAAAAAUGUUGCCAAAGUGAAAUAAAUAAAAUCAUAAAUGUUGUCAUACCUGUCCUCCAUCCAAGCAAUACUAUACAAGUCACCCAAACAAGUGCUAUAUUCAGGGGGAGGACCAGGAAUCUCUCCAGGACAAUAGGUCCCCCAACUGCUCUCUUCAGCAUUUGAAGCUGUGGUUGCAUAGAUAUUUAAGCCCUCAGGAAGAAGACCCUCAAAGAUACUUCCAGAUUCACAGGCUUCGAGAUAAAAUACCUAAAUUUUUUGAUAUUGAAACCAACAAAAAUUUCAAUUUGCCAAGACUAUUAUCGAAAUAGAACACAUGUCAAAUGGCAGUUCACCAAUUACUUACCAAGCUUUUGUAGUUCCCAGAAGCAUGCUUCUUUUUUAAGACAUCGAUCAGUUCAUCAGCAUAUAUGUAUCGACUGGUGGGCAUCCCUGAAAUAGAUCACAAAACAGGUGAACUAAGAAGUCAAUUUUACAACAGAAGUUUAAAAAUAGUGUCGGUUAUAACGUAUAUAUCCACUCUGUUGAAAAAAUAAGGUAAGAUAUUUCAAGUAAAACCAAUACAGUUUUAACCUUCUGAGUAACCAAUUUUUACAUGAGUCAUGUUGGCCUAGGCUUCAAACAACAUGCAACAGCAUAACAACACAAUCAGAUUUUUAUUCCCAGUAAAAUCACAAAUAUGAAAAUAAAUAAAUAAUAAUAAUAAUAAUAAUAAUAAUAAUAAUAAUAGAAGAAUUUGUUUAUAUACAUAGCUUGCACCGCAAGUGAUGUGGCAUCUGACGUUGCAAGAUUGACACCCUAUUGAUAAAUGAUAAAAUCAAUCAAAACUUAAACAUGACCAUUAAUGAUUGGUGAUUCAUCACUUGAGAUACAAACUAUGAAUCCCGACUCAGUAAAUAUAAUAUUACCAUAAAAGAAAUGCCUUUAGUGGUUAAAGAAAAUUAUUUUGAAUCUUUAAACCAUGUGAGACGUUCUCUAACAGGGUUUUUCUAGUGACAGUCAUAUACCACCAAAACCGGUUUGAUUUGGGCCAAAAGAAAAAAAGAUAAUCCAAUUCUAUGGUGUCUAUUUUCUAAAAAUCACUUCAGAAUCAAAAUCAAGUUUUAUGACACACGCUGAACUAAAACCAGAAAUUGACCAUAAGAUGGAAGAAAUCCAAGCCCAAGGACCACCACCAUCUAAUUCGGGUAACUACAGCCACUAUUCAAACAGCACAAAAAAAACACAUACAAUAUAAGACAGAGUGGGGAACUUAUGAAGAAUCGUGGCUACUAACCUAGCACCCCAGGGCCACCAUGAUCUGAGUAGAAUAUGAAAAUAUGAUCAUUGGGGCCGCUAUCCACAACCUUCCCACUGCCCCCUGUAAGAGCUGUUUUAUUUCCCAGGAUAACAGCAAAAAAGUUUUCAACAGUAACAUCUUCCCCCGUGUAAUCCUGCCACAUGAAAGAAGAAACCAUGAAUAAAAUAAUAGUAGUAGUAGUAAUAAAGAACUUUAUCACAUAUUCGGAUGGUUGAUCUUUGAUGCAAUAGUGAGAAUAGGAAUACAAGCUCCUAUACAACUCUACCCAUACGAACGGAUGUGACAUUAUUAUAUCACUAUCAUAUGUUCCCCAUUAUUUAUUUGCUUUUAUUUCUUUGAAAAAUUGCCACAACAUGUUAUAUGAGUAGAGUUUGUAGAGGAUUAUGUAAACCUAGAAUUACUCUUGAGGUAAAGAGACCUUUGGAACUCCUUUGUAAACAUCAUCGCCAUGGGGGUGGUUAAUGAUGACUCCAGGCCUUGGGUUCUCUUCAUUGAAAGCGAUGUCAUCAUACAUGAAAACAAUAAUAUUUUCAUCCUUCAGCCCACCUUUCCUCAAGAGUUGAUAAGCAUGACAAAUAUCAGCCUGAAAUAGAAAUAAAAUAAAAUAAAUACAAAAAAAUGAUUUAUGAAGCUCUACACAGAAUAUGAUUAUGACAUCAAUAGACAGUAUAAUAUGCUGAAAUUCAUAAUUAGAAAGCAUGUAUGUGUGCGUGUAUAUAUAGAGAGGGAGUCCUUCUUUGUUGAGGACAUCCUCACUUUAACAAAAUAAGAUAUCACUAAAAUACGAAAAAACACAUAUUUCAAUCUAUUAGUAUAUUGAAAUUUUUAUUUUUAUUUUUUGUCUUUUGCUGGCAUUCUCACCUUAACAAAGUAAGAAUGCCCUCUCUCUAUAUAUAUAUGAAAAGUGGACUUGAUAGGAAAUCAAAUCGCCUAACAGCAAUAUUUACAUCAAGCCGCUUACACAAAAGGUGCAAAUACAGUUAUCCACUUAUUUAAAGUAAGAAAUCUUUCCUCUGAUUCAUACAAUCGUUGACAGUGUACACAAACAAUUGUCACUCACGGGCAAAUCAUAAAAGUUUCACUUGAGAUGAUGAACAAAUAAAUGAAAGUAAAAUAUAUAUAUAUAUAUAUAUAUGUUUUUCAAACAAAUAACCAAAAAAUUUUAUUGGGGAAAACCUUUAACCAGACUGAUACAAUUAAGAAAUAUGUCAAGCUAUGUGAUAGUUUGUUUGUUUGUUUAUUAUUAUUAUUAUUAUUAAUUUUUUUUAAGAGAUAGUGCUUAAGUUGAUCCACAAACAAACUGGAAAUUUGGUUUUUAAAAAAAAAAAAAAGCCGAAAACAUGAAAUGAAUUUCACAUUCUUUCUUUUGUCUGAUUGUCUCGGCUUACUUGCUGCUUACGUAAAUUAAACAGUUACGCGCAAAAUGAGAUUCUCAAUAUUCAGACAUAAUUUAUGGCGAGCUUUUUAAAUACAAGCAUCAAAGAAAACCUUAACCUUACUUCACUUUCUGAAAAAAAAGAAAAAAGAAAAAGAAAAAAAAUUUACAAAAAUAAAAUAAACUUUCAUUAUAAUAUUUACGAAAAGAAUAAAACUUGGUAAUUCCAAGGAAUUUAUUAAAAUAAAACGUGAUUUCAAAAAAUAAAAUUCAGAUAGCAGACCUGAUGCCUGUAAUUCCAGAAGCCAUUAGAUCCGGCAAGCAGGACGGCCCAUCUCGUGCCGACAGAAUCAUCAUCAUCGUUGACCUUUGCCCCUCCCCCACCAUUAUGGAAGAACCUAUAGGCUUCCGAUGGUAGCUUCAGAAUAUCACCUGCUAUGUCUCUGCUUCCAUCGGCGAUUCCUGCAAGAGCGACUAGGAGCGUGAUUAACACGCCGGUGGCAAGGCGCGUCAUGGUUUUUCGAAGGGGGUUGAUUGGUUGCUGGAGCUAGUUAUGGAAAUGUUGUUGUGGGGAAGAGCUCUGUUAUUUAUAAUACCGAGUGAUGUACUGCUGACAAUAUAUUUUUUCUUUUGUUAUUUUAUUUUAAACGGGAAAAUAUUAAUAAGGGGUAAAAAUGUUUUAAUUUAUUUCAAUUCGGUAAAAUAAUUUAUAAAAUUCUUAAUCAAUACCCUAUUUAUUACAAAAUUACCAACUUAGUUGGUUAAAAGUUAAAACUAACGAUUAGGACAGAAUCAUUUGUUUAAUAAUUAUACUUGGAAGUUAGAAAUCUUAAGACUAUAUUAUAUUGAUCAUAUUUUAAUUUUUAUUAGUUAUAAUUAAAAUUAAGUUGAUUAUACUUUAUGCAGCAUUAUAAAUAUUCUAAAAUAUUUAUUAAAAUCAUGUUAAAUGGGUAUUUAUUAAAAAUAUCAAAAAACUAUAUUAAAUAAAUAAUGUAAAUAAUAGAUGAGUCGACUUAGCGUAUGAGAUUCUUGAUUAGAUUUAUAUGCUAUUCUUUAUGAGCUCAAAUAUAAUAUAUCAACUCUCAUUUCACUACUUAUUAAAGAUAAUAAAUUAUUUUGUUAUAUUAAUUUUUCAGACUGCUCAAACUCUUAAUUUAAAUUAAAUACAUCAAAACGUUUGGGCUCGCGUUGAUUUUACGUUUGAGCGUUUACUUUAUUCUAAUUCUGCAUUUGAGAAAUUGAGAAUUUUAGAUAGUGUAAAGCGAGUGAGGUUGCAGAUGGCACGUACACGUCAGCAUAAGUGAGGAUAAUUUUCUUAUGGACGGUCCAGAUGCAACCGAUCUUCCAACAAAAGUUGAUGUCAGCUGCACCAGGCAUCUCAGCCGUACGUCAGCAUUGAUGAAAGAAAGAUCCAUGCGGUUCGUGCCGUGAAUUGUGGAAGUAUGAAGUGCAGGGGGAUGCGGGGGUAAUUUAGCAUGACUGCGGUUGCGUCCCUUUCGAGGUUGGAUAAACGGGCGAUAUAACGUGGGGUCACUUAGCCGCCCCGGCAGUCGUUAGGUAAUGUUGUUGUAUUGGCUGCUUUCGUCUGCUUUUCAUCCCGUCAAACGAAGAGAGUUUCGGCCCAUCACGUCUUUGUUCCUUUCCCAGAAAAAAAUAAAAAUGAUUCAUUUUCCUGGAAAACACACCCGACCGUAUUACACGGAACACAAAAUUAGUGUAAACGACUAUUUACUUUUGUUAUUAUUGUAAAAUUCGAAAAUCUUUUGAUAACUAAUAAGAGGAUCCUUUUAACAUAAUGUAUGUUACACUACUCACAUGAACAAUGAGUGGUGUGAGUGGCUGUAACAUACAUUAAAUGUAUGUUAAGGUUUAUCCUAAUAAAAGGGUGUAUAAAAUGAAAUUCGUGAGAAUAUGAUGAACUGCAAACGGAAUUUACGUAUAUAAUACGCAUGUAGACAAUAGACUUAUCAUGUACCUUGUAAAUAAAAUAUGAAAGACACAAUCUUUUUUUUUUAAGUAUAAGACAUUUUAUUUUUUAUAAGUCAUUGUUGAGUUCAAUAACUUAAUUUAUAAAUGUGUUACCUCUCUCUUUUUUUCCACAUUUGAUAAUAACUAUAUAUAUAUAUAUAUAUAUAUAUAUAUAUUGUUUCGUCCUUUGAUUUUCUUGAAUAUUACAUUAAUUUUAUUAUUCUUAUUAUUAAACGGAUAUUGGCCUUGAUUAGCACAAUAAUAAUGAAUGUAACCCAUAAAUUGGCUUGAAAUUACAUAAAUCUCAUAGAAAUAAAUUUGGAGAAAUCUACUCUACCUAACUCUCGAGUUUUCUAAAGCAUAAAAACACUCUUUGUGAUAUUUUUAAUAAUUUCUUUUAUUAAAUUAUAAAAAAUUAUAAGCCGGGGAACAGAGAUAAGAAUCGCUCAAUCAAACGAAUCUAAAAUUAUUGAAUGGUUAAGCACACGCGUAUGUCCUAUCAUCUCAUUUUUUUUUCUAACCAAAACUUGGAAUAAAUGUCAAGCGAGAGAUACUUUUUCAACUUGGCCUCUUUGUUGUGAGAAUGACUUCGAUGGGAAUCUUUUGGAAUCGUGCACAUAAAGAUAACGCGACCAUGGGCCACGGCCUAUGGCCCUUGCCGAUUCAUCAGAAUUCAGUUGGAAUCAAUUUAAAUCAUUCAUGUAAGACAAAACAGAAUCGGCAGUAAACAGCGAGCGAUGAUGCCCAUUUGGUUAAGGAAUCCUUCCCCUGCUUGCACACUUCAACUACCUCUUGUCCCCCUUUUUUACCUUUGAUUUUGAAAUUCUUUACCAGUAUCAUGAAUUGAAUUAAUAAAAAAAUUACCAAUUGAUGAAUUAUUCAAUAAAAUUUUUAGUAGGACGGACGUUAAAUAUCUAGUCAAAUUCAUUAAGGCUCCGUUUGAAAUUGAGGUAUUGUACAUUUUAAGCUACAGUUGCUGUAGAAAAAAAGUUGUAACUAUCACACAAAAAUUAAUAAUAUAUAGUAAAUAUAAAUUUUGAUAAAUUUAUUAAAGAUAUAAUAGAAAUUACAAGCUAAGUAGUUAGUGUUUACCAAACACUUUAGCACUGUAAUUUUUAAACAACAGCUGCUCAACAUCAAUCCCAAACACACCAUAAAAUUAAUUCAAAUGCAUUGAAUUAUUCUAUUCAAUGAUAUCAUAUGAUAAUAGUAAGGGUUUCCAUUUUGAACCUGUCCAUAAAUCACACCAAUUGUUAGAAUUCACUCUCACAAAUUUGAACCUGCCCAUAAUAUAUACCCACGAUUUGCUUAUACUAAUUGAGAUUUAAGUUUCCUACCCGAGUGAUAUUUAGACUGUAAAAAAUAUCCAUGCCUUAAGCGCAAUACUGUUCAAUAAAAAAUAAAAAUUAAAAAUCAAUCUUGCUUGAGAAUCACCUUGUAGCCCUCGGUCCAAAUAUAUAUAGAUAGAUAACAGUAGAUUUGACCAUUGUGGAUUCCAAAUAUUUCCCAUGAUAAAGUUUUCCACAUUGGUUGGUUUCAUUUCAAGUCCUCUUUCACAGAAAUCAACAUCAUCUAUCUUUCGGUUUUGGGCCACCGAAAGCAGCGCACACGAUCACCUAGGUUGCCACUUGCCAGUAAGGACACGUACAGGUUAUUAAUAAGCCUCGAAACACAGUGACAAGCCAUGUGAUGUUCAAUUUCGGACUAUUGCGUAGUUUACGUACGAUUUUUAUCUUUCUUUUUUUCUUUUUUUCUUUUUUUAAUGAUCGAUUACCAUACUAUAAAUAUUACAAUUUAAAAACUUAUUCAGAAUUUAAGUAGAUAUACGUGUAGUGCAGCAUAAAAGGUUACUCAAAUUUAUUGUGGCAUCGACUGGCUAACCUAACCUUCCCUUCCGCGCGGAACAUGAAUCUGCUUGUGACCUCUAACUUUUCACGGAGAGACGAGCCCACCACUACCGCCAGUGCCUGAGUGGCGUGUCCUGCGGAAUUAUUGGAGGAAGUGAAAGAGGAGCCGUGCUUCAACGCAACAAUUUUAGUUUCAUUUCAAAAGAUUCUGAAUUUCGGCCUGGGUCCCGGGAAGAUGCAUUUGCUGUUUUAUCAGAUGAUUGUUGUUUUUUAUAAUAAUUGAGAAGAGGAAAAAAAAAAAGACACAAAGCAGUCAUAAUUAGCAGCCGCAGCCCGCAGCCUGGGGUGUUUUCGUUUUCAAGCUCACGGGAAAUCAACCUCGCAGCCUCGUAGGCAUUUUGUAAACGCUGAAAAUAAUUGCAAUCGGGCAGCGGCCACUGUCAUGCUGCUAUUGGCCACUUGCCACGCACAGCAAUUCUGACGCACUAAAGAUAAUGAAAGUCAUUGUAGUUGUCAGUUUCAUGAUGUAGUGGCAUAGAAUAAUUGAGCCCCCAGGAGCAGGAAUCCAACCUGAAUCUCUAAUGUCAGAUUCAAGAAUUUAACAUUAUUUAAUAGCAAGAAUCGUGGGAGAUCCACCCACUUUUCUUUUCUAAAGAUAUUUAUUUAUUCGUUCUUAACAUUUUUCGCUUGUAUUUACUUUGUGCCUUUAUCCUAUCUAUCGUCGUCCGCUUGAAAUCUGUGGCUGUCUGUGUACUGACGCUUGCAUGAUACGAAAGAGUGGAGCUUUUACAUCACUCUAAAACCCUUACAACAACGAUUUUUAUUUUUAUAAUUUUAUUCCUAAAAUACCACUGGUUUGAUUGAUAAAAUAUAUACCUGUAAAUUAAAAUUAACAUUUUGCUAUAAAAUAUUACCUUAGAAAAGGAUCUUUCUUUUUAUGUUUUCAUUUUAUAAUUUUUUUAAAAUAUAUAAUUUAAAAUUAUUUUAAUUUUAUUAUAUAGUUUUUUUUCUCCAUAACUCUGAACUCUUAUAAGUUUUUUUUUUAAAAAAAACUUUUAUUAAAAUAUAGAAAUAUAAAUAUAAUUUAUGAAAGAGGACGGGUGUAAAAAUUUAGUUAAAAGAAGAAUUUUUCUUUCCAAAAAAAAAUUAAUUUAAUUUUAGUUAUUUAAAUCAUUUCGAUAGAGAAAAAAAGGGUUUUAUAAAAAAUUUAAAGGGGGUGUUAAAACUCAAAAGAGCUAUUCCAAUAGGAAAUUGACACCCUUUUGAUCCUUGAGUUUGAGGCCGUAGUGCAAGCUCAUUUUUUCUUAUCCAAAUAUUUAGCCUCCACUUUUAUUAUUCUGGAUUUUCUUAAUUAUAAUAUCAGAGUGCUUAAUUUGAGAUAAAAUUGAAUCUAUUUUACACCAAGUUUAUACCCAAUUUUAAUAAACUAUAUAUAUUAUAGCAAAUGGGGUCUAAAAGAAACUGGUAAUUACUUGGGUUGGUUGUCUCACGUCUGUUUCUGGUCCAGCCCAAGUUUUAAGCCGAAGCUUGGAUUUUUUAUUAAUUGGGUUGGCUAAACCGAAACGAGCCCAGGGAUAUCCUCAUGAGUUGGACUAUUGGCACCCCUCCAUAAUCCUUUUCAAACCCUCUUUUAUUACAAUCGUAUUUCAAGACAAACACUUUAAUAUAUCUCACAUCUAUUUUAUCUCACUUUAAAUUUUUGUAUUUUCUCUCUUAAAAAAAAAACUUUUAUAUUUUCUCUUCUAUCACACUCACACAUGUAAUUUUUUUCUCAAAUUCUCUAUAAAUUUUUCUUCAAUUAAUAAGACAAUUUAUUGCUAAUAAACAAAACACAUUUUGAUAAAAUUAUCUUACCUUUUUUAGGCUCGUACUAAAACUUUUUACAUCAUAAUCUUAGAGAUAAUUUAUUUAAUUCAUUAAUUUUUGUCAAGAAUUUUAUCACCGAUAAAAAUUAUUUGUGAGGAGCGAGAAAAAAAUAAAAAAUUAAAAGAUUCACAAAUUAAAUGUAUUUAUUUAGAAAUAAGGGUAAUUUUGGCAAUAAGUUUAGUAUAGCUGAAAAAGGGGUUUUAAAAGAAUUUUGGAGGAGUGCCAAUACUCUAAUGCCACGUCUACUUGCCGGAUUCAGGAAUGGGAAUCCGGAAUCAGAAUCAUUCCCGCGCUUACUUGCUAAAAUAAGGAGCAGAAUCAUACUCAUUUUCGUGGAUCCCACAACAAUUUGGGAAUCAAAUAUGGGAGUCUAAUUCCCAAGGGGGGGGCUUGGGAAUUAGACUCCCAUUCCCUACAUUUCCCAUUCUACCCACAUUAAUUUUAUAUUAUUCCAGAAAUACCCUCACUCUAGAUAAAAAAAUAUAAAAAGUGAAAAAUUAAAAAAAAAAACAAAAAAAAUCCCUAAAACCUAAACUCUCUCACCCAUGCCUCCCAAUUGAAUGCCAUCGGAGCUGCUUCCAUCACCAUCGCAGCCAUCACCGUCUUUGUUGUCAUGGUUCGUUGGCUGUGGACAGCUGCUCGUUGCCAGUUUCAUCUCCAUUGGGCCGCGUCGAUUUCCCCCCAUCUCAUUUCAUCUCCAAUUUCGUUUUUAAUGGCGACGAUUCUGAUCUGAUGCUGCUGCUACUGCUAACGACGAUGAUUGUCGUUGCCGUUGUUGUUGAUGACGAUGACAAUUGAGAUUUUGACUGUUGUUUUUUUUUUUUUUUUGGGAAAUAGAUUAUUUUUGUUGAUGAUGAUUAUUUGGGAAAUAGAUUAAUUUGAUGAUGAUGAUUAUUAUUAUUAUUAUGGAAAUGGAUUAUUUUGUUGAUGAUGAUGAAUCUGAUUAUGAUUAUUAUUAUUUUUUGAAAUGAAUUAUUAUUUUGUUGAUGAUGAUAUUUUUUAUUUUGAUUAUUGUUAUUAAUUUUAUUAUUAUUAUUAUUAUUAUUAAUGAUAAAUUAUAAUUAAUUAAUAAACUAACAAUAUAUUGUUGACAUAAAUUAUUCCUUAUUGAUUUUGAUGAUAACAAACAUGAUUAAUAUUGAUUAAUCGUUUUAAAAGCUCAACAUAAUUUUCAUCUAUUUUGACAAGUUUCAUAAAGUAUUUUUAUAAAAAUUUGGAGACAAAACAGUCAUCUUGCAAAAUAGUUCACUGCAGCAGUUUUUGUGGAAAACGGCGAUCCGACAUCUGUAGUAAACGGCUCGCCGAUUUCAAGCAGAAAUAGAGAUUAGCCUCUGGACGAAAACGGCACACCGACAUUUGUGAUAAACGGCUCACCGAUAUCAACCAGUAGCCUCUGGACCUAAACGGCGAUCCGAUAUGUUGAUAAAACGGCUCGCCGAUAUCAACCAGAACUGAAGGGUAGUCUCUGGACUUUAACGGCGAACCGACAUGUGUGAUAAACGGCUCGCCGAUAUCAACCAGUAGCCUCUGGACCUAAACGGCGAUCCGACAUCUAGAUAACGGCGAUCCGACAAUUUGAAAAAUCAGCCCAACGGUCAUAUUGACCAGUCAAACGGCGAUCCGACAUCUAGCUAACGGUGAUCCGACAGUGUGCAGAAAGUCAAUAACGGCUAGUUUUCAGCUGCAACUAUAAAUAAGCUCAUUCAAAUCCAAACAAAGAUUGAUCACAACACGACCAUUGAGCAAAUAUUUGAGAAUACAAUCUUCAUAGAGCUUAAAACACAUUCUCUCUUCAUCUAUUCACAAAUUGGGCAUUGAUUUGUAAUCUUAAAUAUUGUGUGAGAGAAAAACAAUUUGUAAUCUUUUACUUUGAGUAAUUGUAAGUGUUGGGAUACACUUGGGUUAAGAGAUUGGGGAUAAUCUCUUGUUGUAAAGGUCCAUUGACACCUUGGAAGUCAAGUGUAAGCAUUUGAAGCCUUGGAGGCUUGCUUAGUGGAAUCCUCAAGCCCGGAAAGCUUGGAGGCGUGGACGUAGGCAAGGUUGGCCGAACCACGUAAAAAUCUCGGUGUUUGAAUCCCUCUUCCCUUAUCUUUUUAUAUUGUGAUCAUCUUAAUUGUUAUUGCUUUGAAUUUGAUUUAUAAUUGCAUUAAGUUUUUCUUUAAUAAAUUAAAUAUUUUUUAGAAUCCCAAUUCACCCCCCCUCUUGGGUUGCAUACUUGUAUUUCAAUUGGUAUCAGAGCCUUGUUCUCUUGUUAAGACUUAAUCGUCUAGAGUAAAAGAUCCAUGGCAACCCUAAAUGACUCAACCUUUAGAGAAGGGCAAUCCACAACUAGACCACCUUUUUUUUGAUGGUAAUGAUUAUGCUUAUUGGAAAACUAGAAUGAGAAUCUAUUUGCAAGCCUUAGAUUAUGAAAUUUGGGAAGUUGUUUGUGAUGGUCCAUUCAUGCCUACGUUCAAAGAUGAAGUAGGAGAUGAUAUUCCUAAACCAUCGAGUCAAUGGAGUGAGUUAGAAAAGAGAAAGAUGUCUCUAAACUCCAAGGCUAUGAAUGCUUUGUUUUGUGCCCUUGAUAAGAAAGAAUUCCAUAGAGUAUCUAGUUGUGAAAGUGCACAAGAGAUAUGGAACAAACUUGAAGUUGUCUAUGAAGGGACAAAUCAAGUGAAAGAGUCUAAAAUCAGUAGAUACACUCGCCAAUAUGAGUUGUUCCAAAUGGAACAGAAUGAAAAUGUGUAUUCUAUGUACACUAGAUUCACGGACAUAGUGAACACCCUAGGUGCCUUAGGGAAAACCUUCUCAAAUAGUGAGAAAGUUAAGAAAAUCAUUAGGUCACUUCCAAAAGAAUGGAGACCUAAAAGAACCGCUAUUGAAGAGGCCAAAGAUUUAAAUAUUUUACCUCUUGAUGAUUUAAUUGGUUCUCUUAUUUCGUAUGAAGAGGAUUUAGCUGCAGAAAAAGGACAUGAGGAGAAGAAGAAAAGCAUUGCUCUCAAAGCUUCAAAAUAUGAGAGUGAUGAGGAGAGUGAACCGGAUGAUGAAGAACUAGCCAUGCUAGCAAGGAGGUUCAGAAAAUUCUUCAAGAAAACCGGAGAGCGAAGAAAUUUCAGAAACUUCAAGAACUAUAGAGAGAAGAAGGAGGCAAUCACUUGCUAUGAAUGCAAGAAGCCUGGACAUAUAAGAUCGGAGUGCCCACUUAUCAACAAACUCAAGAAGAAAGCAAUGGUUGCAACUUGGGAUGAUAGUGAGGAAGAAUCAAAUGAUGAAGAAGGAUCGCAAGAAGUAUCAAACCUAGCACUCAUGGCAAUAGGAGGGGAUGAUGAUCUCAAUGAGGUAAGUGAUCCUACCUAUGAUGAAUUAUAUGAUGCUUUUCAAGAUUUGCAUAAUGAGUUGAUGAAAAUUGGUAAAAAGAAUGUAUGUCUUAAAAAGGAAAUGGCAAAGCUUAAAAAUGAAAAUGAAUCUCUAAAUGCAAGAAUUGUAUGCCUAGAAGUAGGAAACAAAACAUUGCAUGAUGAAAUUGCAUUAUCAAAUGAGAAAUCUAGCAUCUUACAUGAGCAUUUGAAAUCACACAUAGAUGAGUUGAAAAAUGAGAACGAAUUGCUCAAGAAAAAGAAUAAUGAAUUAAAUGAAAUUGUUUUGAAAUUUACAAAUGGGCAAAAGAUGUUGGAUAAUAUGCUUAACUCACAAAAAUGUGUUUUUGAUAAAGGAGGACUUGGAUAUAAGCCAAACUUGAAGCAAAAGUAUUAUAAGAAUUAUUUUGUUAAAGCUACCUCCACAAAUGAUCAUAAGAUUGUAUGUCAUUAUUGUAAUCAAAAUGGUCACAUGAAAUUUAGAUGUCCCGUGAAAAGGAAUGCAUAUUAUGGUGUCAAGUGCAUUUGGGUUCCAAAAGGAACCGUUGCUAACUCUCAAGGACCCAAAAAGCUUUGGGUACCUAAAACUUGAGACUUUUUCUUGUAGGGCUUGAAGAAGAAGAAGAAUAAAUGGUACUUGGACAGCGGUUGUUCAAGGCACAUGACCGGAAACUAUGCAUGGUUCUCAAGCUUUACCAAAAUUGAAAAUGGUGGAGACGUAUCCUUUGGAGACAACUCAAAAGGAAAAAUCCUUGGAAUUGGAAAUGUUGGUAAAGUUUCUUCAACUCUAAUUGAGAAUGUAUGUUUGGUUGAAAACUUGAAACACAACUUAAUUAGCAUUAGUCAAUUAUGUGACAAAGGUUAUAAAGUUAUCUUUGAUAAAUUUAGUUGUGUUAUUGAGAACUCAUGUGAUGGCAAAACCUUAUUUGUUGGAAAUAGAUGUGGUAAUGUUUAUAUCAUUGACAUAGAAUGUGCAUCUACUCUUGAUAAAUGUUUUUCGGCAUUGCAUGAUGAUUGUUGGUUAUGGCAUAGAAGGUUAGGACAUGCAAGUAUGGAUUUGAUUUCAAAAAUUUCGAAAGAUAAUUUAGUUAAAGGUCUUCCGAAAAUUGGUUUUCAAAAGGAUAAGAUUUGUGAAGCUUGUCAAUUUGGAAAACAAAUUAAAACUUCUUUCAAGAAUAAAAACCAUAUUUCUACUUCAAAACCACUUGAACUUCUUCACAUAGAUCUUUUUGGGCCAUCUAGAUAUGCAAGUCUAAAUGGCAAAUAUUAUGCAUUUGUGAUAGUGGAUGAUUAUUCUAGAUAUACAUGGGUAUUAUUCUUAGCCAAUAAGGAUGAUGCUCUUGAUGCUUUUAAAGUGCUUUGUAAGAAAUUACAAAAUGAAAAAGGGCAUGGUAUUGUAUGCAUUAGGAGUGAUCAUGGAGGAGAAUUUGAAAAUCAUGCAUUUGAGUGUUUUUGCAAUAAUCUAGGCAUUGAGCAUCAAUUUUCAUCACCUAGAACUCCACAACAAAAUGGAGUUGUUGAGAGAAAGAAUAGGUCUAUUCAAGAAAUGGCUAGAACCAUGUUAAAUGAAAAUGCAUUACCAAAAUAUUUUUGGGCCGAAGCCGUCAACACCGCUUGUUAUGUUUUAAAUCGGGUGUUGAUUAGACCUAAUCUUAACAAAACUCCUUAUGAGCUUUGGAAAGAUAGAAAACCCAACAUUGGAUAUUUUAAAGUUUUUGGAUGCAAAUGUUUUGUUUUGAACACAAAAGACAAUCUUGGUAAAUUUGAUCCAAAAUCCGAUGUUGGUAUUUUUCUUGGUUAUUCAAAUUCAAGUAAAGCUUAUAGAGUCUAUAACAAAAGAACCUUAGUUGUGGAAGAAUCUAUGCAUGUGACAUUUGAUGAGUCUAACCCCUCCUCUACGGAGAAAGUCGUUGUUGAUGAUGAUGCAGGAGAAGAAGAACAAGAAGAAGAAGCAUCAAAUGACAAACAAGAGGAUGCACCACAUGAAAUUCAAGAGGAACAUCAUGAAGAACUAAAUGCGGAGCAAAAUGAAGGUACUUCUCAAACACUCCCCAAGGAGUGGAGGUAUGUCUCUUCUCACCCUAAAGAUGUAAUUUUAGGAGAUCCCUCACGAGGUAUUACAACUAGAUCAUCACUUAGAAAUACUUGUGAGCAUAAUGCAUUCAUCUCUCAAAUUGAACCAAAAUCCUUUGAGGAUGCAGAAAAUGAUGAAUCUUGGAUUAUGGCAAUGCAAGAGGAGUUAAAUCAAUUU